rnacentral:tRNA from 1 species
UGUUCUGUGGCUUAGAUGAUUGAAGCGCCGGUCAAGUGAACAUGGAGCCGUGGGUUCAAAUCCCAUCAGAACGC